UACAGAGGGUGCGAGCGUUGUUCGGAAUUAUUGGGCGUAAAGGGCGCGUAGGCGGUGCGGUAAGUCACCUGUGAAAUCUCCUGGCUCAACUGGGAGCUUGCAGGCGAAACUGCCGUGCUGGAGUGUGGGAGAGGUGCGUGGAAUUGGGGGUGUAGCGGUGGAAUGCGUAGAGAUCCCCAAGAACACCAGUUGCGAAGGCGGCUGACUGGACACAUAUUGACGCUGAGGCUCGAAAGCAUGGGGAGCAAACAGG
rnacentral:rRNA from 1 species